rnacentral:rRNA from 1 species
GUGAGGAAUAUUGGUCAAUGGGCGGAAGCCUGAACCAGCCAAGUAGCGUGCAGGACGACGGCCCUAUGGGUUGUAAACUGCUUUUAUACGGGGAUAAAGUGCGCCACGUGUGGAGCAUUGCAGGUACCGUAUGAAUAAGGACCGGCUAAUUCCGUGCCAGCAGCCGCGGUAAUACGGAAGGUCCGGGCGUUAUCCGGAUUUAUUGGGUUUAAAGGGAGCGCAGGCCGGAAGCAAAGCGUGCCGUGAAAUGUAGAUGCUCAACAUCUGAAUUGCGGCGCGAACUGGUUUUCUUGAGUGCAUACGAGGUAGGCGGAAUUUGUGGUGUAGCGGUGAAAUGCUUAGAUAUCACGAAGAACUCCGAUUGCGAAGGCAGCCUACCAGGAUGUAACUGACGCUAAAGCUCGAAAGUGCGGGUAUCGAACAGGAUUAGAUACCCGGGUAGUCC